CGAAACCUGACCAAAUGACCGCCAAAAAUCACGAAAAUUGAACCAUAGCAUCACAACAACAUUCCAAAGGUGUUCUCAAAGUUGCCUACAUGGUGGUUUUGAGGCCCGAACCACCAAACCCUCUGCACACCCAUCUGGCAUGACUCACACCCGCUUUUGAGGUCAAAUCGGUCAAACCCUCUGCACGCCCUCCUGGUGUGACUCACCACCUAUUUUUGAGGUCAAACUGGUGAAACCCUCUUGCACGCCC
rnacentral:lncRNA from 1 species